ensembl:antisense Pcsk2os1 proprotein convertase subtilisin/kexin type 2, opposite strand 1
CGCCGCGAGCCCGCGCCCCCGCCAGCUCGGAGCGGCUUUGCUCCGCCCGACCGCUGCGCGCUCAGGAAAAUCCCCCCCGCUGCCACCCGCUGCCGGCGCCCGGUGAUGUCAUUGUUUGUGGAAAUCUGCACAGCUCCGGGCAGGGAAUUACGGUGUAUUCAGACUCUUUAGGAAGAAGAAUUCAGAUCCACACACUAUCAAGUCGAGGAAAAUCUGCUAUGUCAGAGACGGGGAACAGGGCAAACCAUAGUCAUCCAUAGGAGGAACUUCUGGACCUGUGCAUAUUGUUUGAACCACCGCAGAAGGUUUGUCCUCAUAUUGCAGUUUGGUGCAAAAUGAAUGGUGCAGAACAAUACUGACAGAUUCAGUGAUAGGGAGACAUGUACAAGGAAGACCUGGCAACUUUCCUCAGCAAGAACACAUGAAUGAAUAAGGAAAAUGAGCUUGUGCCUUUUAGCUGAGGUGAUUUGUCAAAAGCCCACAGCACUGUGGCUGUUCCCAGACUUUAAGGGAUAUACUCAACCUCA